AUACGUAUAGAAUCUGGCGAACAUUAUUUGACAAUGCGUAUCUGUAAAAUAUUCUCGUUGGGUAAUUCAAAUAUUCUGUUUGAUAUAAAAGACAUAAGUGUAAAUAUUUAUGCAAUAUAUUGUGUAGGGAAGGAACUACACCUUGUAUAAUUUGUUUCAAACAAAAAAAAAUGUGCGGGAAGUGCGCAAAGAGCCGUGGAAAUGCAGCUGUAAGUAAUGACAGACAACGACUCCCUGCCGGUAUUCUGCGAUUAUGAAUACCUACUAACAAGGAGGCAUUCGAAGAGCCUAAUCACCAAUUUUCACCUCAUGAUUUUUCCGUGGUAAACAAUGAAAAAUUACGUGAAAUACUUAAUCAACAACGGUCCAUGCCGGUCAAAAUACCAGCGGUUUUUUCAACAGUAUUUUAGCACGGUCACAAAAGGUUGUCAAGUGAACCUGAACGAAUAAUAAAGCAGCAUUAUACGUCCACUGGUCUUCAAAAAUAGGCAUUGCUAAAGGACAAGGCUGGAGAAAAGUCAGGGAAUUUAAUGAAAAAGACUGGAAAUAUGAAAAAUCUUGAAACUUUAAAUCUAAAAAACAUCAGUGCUGUCCACACGAUCAAAGUUAUUCUUCCUCAGGGUUCAAUGCUCUGAUUUACAUUCUGAGUAGUAAAUAGAGGAGAAAUUCUUAAUAAAAAAUUGCAAGUAUGGUUGAUUGAGUAUUAUUAUUAUACUGAAAGCAGUGAAAGGGGAAAAAAAUUCUCAACUUUCAGUCAUUUAUGGUGAAAUUAUUGUCAAAAAUUGAUCACUUCUAUGUGUUUGAAGGGUCGACAUGAAAAGUCAAGAGAUUUUGAUAAUUUUGGUUAGGAAAACCUGGAAGAGCCAGGGAUUUUUUCUCUGGCGAAUCUGUUAACAGUAUGAAUCAGCAAUGAAACAAAUCAACUCUUUU